CAUCAUUUAAAGAAAGCGUAAUAGCUCACUGGUCGAGUCGGCCUGCGCGGAAGAUGUAACGGGGCUAAACCAUGCACCGAAGCUGCGGCAGCGACACUAUGUGUUGUUGGGUAGGGGAGCGUUCUGUAAGCCUGUGAAGGUGGCCUGUGAGGGUUGCUGGAGGUAUCAGAAGUGCGAAUGCUGACAUAAGUAACGAUAAAGCGGGUGAAAAGCCCGCUCGCCGGAAGACCAAGGGUUCCUGUCCAACGUUAAUCGGGGCAGGGUGAGUCGGCCCCUAAGGCGAGGCCGAAAGGCGUAGUCGAUGGGAAACAGGUUAAUAUUCCUGUACUUGGUGUUACUGCGAAGGGGGGACGGAGAAGGCUAUGUUGGCCGGGCGACGGUUGUCCCGGUUUAAGCGUGUAGGCUGGUUUUCCAGGCAAAUCCGGAAAACCAAGGCUGAGGCGUGAUGACGAGGCACUACGGUGCUGAAGCGACAAAUGCCCUGCUUCCAGGAAAAGCCUCUAAGCAUCAGGUAACAUCAAAUCGUACCCCAAACCGACACAGGUGGUCAGGUAGAGAAUACCAAGGCGCUUGAGAGAACUCGGGUGAAGGAACUAGGCAAAAUGGUGCCGUAACUUCGGGAGAAGGCACGCUGAUAUGUAGGUGAAGCGACUUGCUCGUGGAGCUGAAAUCAGUCGAAGAUACCAGCUGGCUGCAACUGUUUAUUAAAAACACAGCACUGUGCAAACACGAAAGUGGACGUAUACGGUGUGACGCCUGCCCGGUGCCGGAAGGUUAAUUGAUGGGGUUAGCGGUAACGCGAAGCUCUUGAUCGAAGCCCCGGUAAACGGCGGCCGUAACUAUAACGGUCCUAAGGUAGCGAAAUUCCUUGUCGGGUAAGUUCCGACCUGCACGAAUGGCGUAAUGAUGGCCAGGCUGUCUCCACCCGAGACUCAGUGAAAUUGAACUCGCUGUGAAGAUGCAGUGUACCCGCGGCAAGACGGAAAGACCCCGUGAACCUUUACUAUAGCUUGACACUGAACAUUGAGCCUUGAUGUGUAGGAUAGGUGGGAGGCUUUGAAGUGUGGACGCCAGUCUGCAUGGAGCCGACCUUGAAAUACCACCCUUUAAUGUUUGAUGUUCUAACGUUGGCCCGUAAUCCGGGUUGCGGACAGUGUCUGGUGGGUAGUUUGACUGGGGCGGUCUCCUCCUAAAGAGUAACGGAGGAGCACGAAGGUUGGCUAAUCCUGGUCGGACAUCAGGAGGUUAGUGCAAUGGCAUAAGCCAGCUUGACUGCGAGCGUGACGGCGCGAGCAGGUGCGAAAGCAGGUCAUAGUGAUCCGGUGGUUCUGAAUGGAAGGGCCAUCGCUCAACGGAUAAAAGGUACUCCGGGGAUAACAGGCUGAUACCGCCCAAGAGUUCAUAUCGACGGCGGUGUUUGGCACCUCGAUGUCGGCUCAUCACAUCCUGGGGCUGAAGUAGGUCCCAAGGGUAUGGCUGUUCGCCAUUUAAAGUGGUACGCGAGCUGGGUUUAGAACGUCGUGAGACAGUUCGGUCCCUAUCUGCCGUGGGCGCUGGAGAACUGAGGGGGGCUGCUCCUAGUACGAGAGGACCGGAGUGGACGCAUCACUGGUGUUCGGGUUGUCAUGCCAAUGGCACUGCCCGGUAGCUAAAUGCGGAAGAGAUAAGUGCUGAAAGCAUCUAAGCACGAAACUUGCCCCGAGAUGAGUUCUCCCUGACUCCUUGAGAGUCCUGAAGGAACGUUGAAGACGACGACGUUGAUAGGCCGGGUGUGUAAGCGCAGCGAUGCGUUGAGCUAACCGGUACUAAUGAACCGUGAGGCUUAACCUU
rnacentral:rRNA from 1 species